rnacentral:rRNA from 1 species
GAUGAACGCUGGCGGCGUGCCUAAUACAUGCAAGUCGAGCGAACAGACGAGGAGCUUGCUCCUCUGACGUUAGCGGCGGACGGGUGAGUAACACGUGGAUAACCUACCUAUAAGACUGGGAUAACUUCGGGAAACCGGAGCUAAUACCGGAUAAUAUAUUGAACCGCAUGGUUCAAUAGUGAAAGACGGUUUUGCUGUCACUUAUAGAUGGAUCCGCGCCGCAUUAGCUAGUUGGUAAGGUAACGGCUUACCACGGCGACGAUGCGUAGCCGACCUGAGAGGGUGACCGGCCCCACUGGGCCUGGGACGCGGCCCAGACGCCUGCGGGCGGCAGGGGUGGGGAAUAUUGCGCAAUGGGCGCAAGGCUGAUGCAGCGCCGCCGCGUGGGGGAUGACGGCCUUCGGGUUGUAACCUCUUUCAGUAUGGCAGAAGCGACCUUGACGGUACCUGCAGAAGAAGCACCGGCUAACUACGUG